UUCUUGUUGUUUGGCUUCAUAUUUACCAUAUUGAGUAAUGUAAGGUCCAUUGGUUUCCAAUUGUUUGGCUUCAUGUUUACCAUAGGCAGUUAUGUAAGGUUCAUUGGAUUCAUGGGUAUGGGUCUUGUACCCGGUAGUGUAAUCUGGGUUCUUGGCUUCAUGUUUACCAUAUUGAGUUAUGUAAGGUCCAUUGGAAUCCGGUUGUUUGACUUCAUGUCUACCAUGGGCAGUUAUGUAAGGUUCAUUGGAUUCAUGGGUAUGGGUUUUGUACCCAGUAGUGUAAUCUUGGUUCUUGGCUUCAUGUUUACCAUAUUGAGUUAUGUAAGGUCCAUUGGAUUCUGAUUGUUUGGCGUCAUGAUUACCAUAGGCACUUAUGUAAGGUCCUUUGGCCUCAUGGGUAUGGGUCUUGUACCGGGUAGUGUAAUCUGGGUUCUUGGCUUCAUGUGUACCAUAUUGAGUUAUGUAAGGUCUAUUGGAAUUCGGUUGUUUGGCUUGAUGUCUACCAUAGGGAGUUAUGUAACGUUCAUUAGAUUCAUGAGUAUGAGUAUUGUACCCGGUAGUGUAAUCUGGGUUCUUGUCUUCAUGUUUACCAUAUUGAGUUAUGUAAGGUCCAUUGGAAUCUAGUUGUUUGGUUUCAUGUCUAUUGUAGGAAGUUAUGUAAGGUCCAUUGGAUUCAUGAGUAUAAGUUUUGUACCCGGUAGUGUAAUCUGCGUCCUUGGCUACAUGUUUACCAUAUUGAGUUAUGUAAGGUCCAUUGGAAUCUGGUUGUUUGGCUUCAUGUCUACCAUAGGCAGUUAUGUAAGGUCCAUUGGAUUCAUGGGUAUGGGUCUUGUACCCGGUAGUGUAAUCUGGGUUCCUGGCUUCGUGUUUGAAAUAUUGAGUUAUGUAAGGUGCAUUGGAAUCCGGUUGUUUAGAUUCAUGUCUACCAUAGGUUGUUAUGUAAGGUUCAUUGGAUUCAUGGGUAUGGGUCUUGUACCCGGUAGUGUAACCUGGAUUCUUGGCUUCAUGUUUACUAUAUUGAGUUAUGUAAGGUCCAUUGAAAUCUGGUUGUUUGACUUGAUGUCUACCAUAGCCAGUUAUGUAAGGUUCAUUGGAUUCAUGGCUAUAAAUCUUGUACCCGGUAGUGUAAUCUUGGUUCUUGGCUUCGUGUUUGAAAUAUUGAGUCAUGUAAGGUUUAUCAUUCGAGUCCACUUGAUCCUGAUCUUGCAACUCCACCUUCAAGUCUCUGGCAUUGAUGUCUUGGCCAAUCUACAAUGACGACAAUGAGAAUAUAAAUUGAAUGACUUUUUGAAAGAAAGAAAAAAAAAAACUAAAAUAUUAAUCCCCUGAAAAAAAAUAUUAAUGUCUUAAUUGAUUAUCCAAGUUGAUAUACUACUAUCCAAGUUGAUUAUCCAAGAAGAAAAUUAACUGCAAGGGCCUUUAACCAAGAAGAAGAAAAAUAGAAUAUUGACAAAUAUACAAUUGCCUUGUUUGGUUCAUUGCGGGAAAAUGAGGAGAGUGAAGUAAAUAUUUUCACGAUUGAAAUAUUUAUUAUGACAAUUAGGAAAAUGUCAUUUAUGUUUAAAUGUGAUAUUAUUUUUGAAAAAAUCUUGCUUCCCUAUUUUUUCCUCCGUAUCUAAUAACUUAAUGAAAUAGCUAAAAUGUAAAAUAAUUUCUCAUCUACCCUCUCCAAGACUCCAACUAUCACUAUGUACAAUUGAAUUACCAUAAAGAAGAAAAGAACCACUGUGAGGAACUGAAGUGCUAGUGUAGUAGCCAUUUUUAAGUAUUGAGGAUGAGUUAUUCAACUUGAAGAGAACUAGCCUUUUUAUAGGUGAAAUUGAGGUCUUUUUUCUUUCUUUUUUUUUUGGAAGAAGGUGCUGUCGAGGUUUCCUUUGUUGACUCAGUUUCCUUCUUACUUCUUGGAUUGGAGAUUUGAGAAUUAUAAUAAUAUAAUUUUUUCUUAAUUUUUUUUUCUAUAGUGUAUUAGCUUUUUUUCAGGAGUGCUUUUUUUUCUUAAUAUAAUACUAGCAGUAGGUGAGUAUACCGACAAUCAAUAUUUCUAUCCACAAUGCAAUUAACGAGGGACGGUCUUAUCGAUAAUAUGCGAAAAUGAAUUAAUGAUGUAUAUAGUUUUUAUUAUAGACAACAUGUAUCAUUUAAUAAAUGAAUCUAAAAUGUCAAUUUUUAAUUAUAACAGUGAUCGGAGUACGUGCGAACAAUAAUGUUAUACAUCACACAAGAAAACCCACGAACCCGUCACGAAGUACAUUCCAUAGUUAAAAAGUUAAAUGGUAAAGCGGCAGAAUUUACGGAAAUCAGGUAGGAAAUUAUGUAGUGGAAAUACACUAUCGUGAUCAAUUAGUGAAAUGCUAUUCGCUAUAGAUAGCAUUUUUCAUGUGCAAAUGGUUUUUAUUACAUCUGCAUCAUUAAAUAUAAGGGUGUGUUUGUUUAAAGUGUACUAAAUUUAUUCUUAAGGUAUAGGAAUUUUAUUCUAAAGUAUUUAGAAAAAAAGAUGUUUGGUUAAUAUUAUAAUAUUUCAAAGAACCUUAAAAAUAGGGAAUAUAAUAAUAGGUAAUUAUACAUAAUUUUAUUCUCAUCUUAAUGGGAACUUUAUUCUCACUAUUUUCUUUAUGAAAACUUUUCUAUUCUAAGAACAUUUUAUAUUCAUGAAUAAAAUUUAGUAAACUUGUAACAAACAUAAACAUGUGCAUUUUUAUGAUUUUAUUCUCAGGAAUCUACAAAUAUAACAUGAAACAAACACACCCUAAGAAGAAGAACAAUAUAAAAUUAUAAAGAAAAGAAGAUAUUGAAUGUGUGUUAAGAUGUAACAAAUGAAAAAAAUUAAGAUAAUACAUUCCUUAAUAUGCUCCCUCGACAUGGUUUGUAAAGACAAAUUCGAAAUGAGUGUGACAAUUACGAUGUACACGAUCCCCUUUUUUCUCUCCCUGAGAAUAGCUUUUAUUUAUGUGAAAUUAAUAAUUUAAGAGUAGUGCUAUGAAUUGAAGAUGGAUGACAGUAUGGCUAAAUAUGGUAACUUGACAAAAUCAUGAACUCAACAAUUCAUAUUUUUCAUAACAUAUAGAAGAGUUUAUUAUCGUAUAGAGUCAUUUGACAUGAUAAUACACUCUUUUUAGUCAUAUAGGGCGACUAAAAGUAUUUACUUAAGAUAAUACACUCUUUUUAUCAUAAUGUGUAGAUAGUGUGGUCACUAUUAUAAAUAACAAACUAUUUUUUAAGUUUAUUGAAUAACUUUUUUUCAAAAAAAUUUCAUUGAAUAACUUAUGUAUAUUGUUUAUAUUAUAGACCAAAUACAUUAGUUAUUCAAUGAACCUAAUAAUUGUUUAGUUUUUGUUUAUAAUAGUGAUUAGAAGGUGUAUCAUCUUAUAUAGUGUAAAAGAUGACAAGAAUUCAUAUAGGUUUUUAGUUUCUUUUUGUAAUCAUUUUAGAGUAAAAAGUAGCAAGUUUUAUUGUAUUUUAGCAUAGGUUUGUAAAGGAUUAGUUCAAAAGUUAUGAAAUAGAAAAAAUUGGGAAAUAGACUUUGGAACAUGUCAAAAUCACUCAAAUUAGACAACUUUGUGAACGUGCUAUGCUUAUUACAAAUUUAAUCAUGUUAGGUCUUGGGGUAUAGUCAUUACAAAUGUUUUGGUGAGAAGAGUAGGACAAGGAAUGAAGAAAAGCAAAAUGAACAACUACUACCUACAUGCAUCGCGACAUUGAAGGAAAGUCGUAAGUGUUUCACCAUUGCCUCGGUCAUCAUGGACUUGAAGCUUCAUGCCGUAAGAUAUAGAAGAAUUCAAAUGUGGUACGUUACUGUUUAUGUCGCAUCACUGGCUUUCAUAUCGCAUCGUGAGAGAUGGAAAAGGUUAGAAGUACCACACGUUGAGGAAGUCGCUUACUGAAGGUGCGGAGUGCAUAUAUGAAUAAUAUUUGGGUUAUGGGACUUAAUUGGCUAUUCAAAAUAGAACAUUAGCUUGCUUAGAAAUUAAGACAGAAUAUUCCCAGAAAUACAAGAAGCAUCCAUCAGAAUAGAAUAGAAGAAACAUAAAUUAGGGUUUUGGAGAAACCUUAAAAGGAGGUUGCCGCGACAAAGAGAGGAUGGAGAAUCAAGGAGCAAGACCAUCGUGGUUAUGUUAAUCAUUCUUCUCUCCAGCGGCGAAGCUAGAGUAAUUUUCACGAGGGGGCCAAAUAGAAAGAAAUUUUUUUAGACAAAAAAAAAAAACUUUUUAGAAUUUUAUAUAUUAAACUCAGGGUUAAAUAUCUUUAGGGUGUGUUUGGAUUGAGGGUUUAGGAGGGGAAUGGAGGGGAGAGUUUGUUUUUCUUUUUUAAAUUACAGACUAUAUAACAUGUUUCUCUAAAAUAAAUUAAGUGUGAUUGAAGUAUUAUAUGAUCGUUUAUCAUGUUAAUAUGUUAACUCUUAAAAAAACAUUUCAAAGUGUCCGUAAUUACUCUACCAUUGAUUAGAUUUAGACAUAAACUAAUGAUAGUUGUUACUUAGUUUGACGUUCUUAAACCUAUUAGGGUUAUGGGCUUCACUAAGACAUUGAGGGAUAAUAAUCGUUGAGGAGAAGUGACCAAGACAUUGGCUUAACUAUUUUGAUAAAUAUAUUAAAAUCAAGUAAUCAGUUCAAACUAUUUUAAAAUUUGUAGUUACCGAAUAGUUCAGAGAAGGGAGUCGAAAUGACUUAAUCAUUCUCCUUACCUUGAUCUUAUUCGUUUAUUUCUUUUCUAUAAACAAAAUUUGUGUCUAGUGCAAGUCCCCCAAUUCUCAAAUCAUAUUAACAAUCCAUAUUGUUGUAGAAAUUUCACAAUCCAUAUGAAGAGGAAUUUUUUAUAAAUAUUACUAUUUUUUGACACACUAAUACACUUGCUAGAUUUUUACGAUUAAUACACGAUAUGAUAAGUUUCAGGAUUAACUUAUUAUAUCUUAUUGUCUCAUAAAAUACUGCAUUGAGACGUGAUAUAAUAUAAUUAUAUAACAAAUCAUGUCUCUUUAAGUGUAUGAAUUAUGAUCUUCAUUUUUUUACUAUGUAUUUUGCCAAAAGUAUUACUUUAUUAUUCAAAAAGGUAAAUUAUAUUUUGCGAUAGAGGGAGUAAUUUUGUAAAAUAACUCAUAGUCUCUCUUUUCUAUACAAAAUUAGCUAUAUUUUUUCAAUCUUAAUUUAUGUAAAACUGCUAAAGUAAUAUAUAAUUUGGGACGUAUGAUGUAUCCAAUUAAUUUGGGACAUAUUAAGUCUUAAAAAACAUCUUAAAUUUUUUUUUAAGGAGAAAAAAACAUCUUAAUUGAUGUUUAUGAUUUUGGUGAUUUGUCUAUUCAUUCUUAGAUACUAUUUUUUUAGUCAUUACAUUUUGCGCCCUUUUAAAGAAUAGUUUCUACAUUUAUUAAAUAUUUUUAAAAUCCUCACAUUUUAUCUCCGUUAUCAAAAUUAGUCUCUGCUGUUAAUUCUCUAACGGAAUGCUGAUGUGACAGUUAGUGGGUCCCAAUUAUUUUAAGGUUAAAUAUGUUUUUGAUCCCUACAUUUUGCGUUACUUUAGAAAAUAGUCCUUGCAUUUCAAUAAAUGUUUUUAAAAUCCUUAAAAGAAUAAGGACUAUUCUUCAAAGUCACGCAAAAUGUAGGGACCAAAAACAUAUUUAACCCUAAAAUAAUUGAGACCCACUACCUGCCACAUUAACGGUCUGUUUGAGCAUUAAUAACAUGGACUAAUUUUGAUAACAAAGAUAAAAUGUGGAGAUUUUAGAAACAUUUAAUAAAAUGUAGGAGGACUAUUCUACAAAGGGGCGCAAAAUGUAAGGAUUAAAAACAUAUUUAACUUUUUUUUAAAAACAUACCCUUAUUAAUAUUGUCUCUAUUUUGAAAAAUGAAAAGUUAAAGUCAUAGACAUUAAUCUUUAAAGGAUAUUUUAGAAUAAUUUAUAUAUAAAGGGGGCAUUCUAAACUCACUAUCUACUUUUCAUAAUAUAUGUGAAAAAAGUAAAAACGACUUAUAAAAAGAGACAAAGAUAGAGUGAGUAUUACUCUGCAUUUGACAUGUUUAACAACUUAUUUUCCACUUUAAAAUUGAUUGUGUUCCAUUUACCCAAAAAUUAACCAAGAAAAUAAUCCAUGUAUCCAAUAGUUAAUAGUACUAAUAAUUGACUGUGUUUCCCAAAACUAUUAAUGCAAGUGCACAUGUAUUAGCAGGAAGUCAACUAACUUCCAUCAAUAACGGAUCAUGGUCUGUUAAAAUCCACAUAUUUUUACCAACUAACCUAGAGAGACGGAAUAAUUUAGAAAAUGAUUUUAGGAAAGGUUAACAAAAAAAAAAAGUGUCGCCUGUGUCAUUUGUCAAAAAAUUAAAAAUAGGAGUAUUUACUAUCUUUUCUCUUUGUAUAAACAUAUCUUUUUUUAAGAGAUUAAAAUAAAAUAUAUUACCACGACAAAAGACCCUCCUAGCACAAGUUGUGCGAAGGAGGAAACGCCUGAAUCCGAAAACCGAGUGUCAAAAAUAUGUACAAAAUUUUAAAGGCGACAGCCUGUGCCACCCAAGAGAAAUCAAGAAAGAAGACAAUAAUUAGCCUAUGCCUACGAUAGUAAACGGACUUAGCCAGCAACCAUGGUAAUUGAGGAGAAGUGAAGGUAACUAAAUCGACUUAAUCUUGUCCACCACCUACAUAAUUAAGCUUUCAUGAGCGUUAAAAAUUUUGUUAUUUCUUUCUUUCCAUAUUUCUCACGCUGUUGCAAACCAAAUAACUUGUAAGAUCGAUUGUCUCAACUUAGCAGCACAAUGUAACUAAACUGAAUAAAAUGAUCAACCACAACAGCAGGCAUUACCGUAGACACACCUAGCCACUGAAAGAUAUGAUGCCAAACAGAGCCAAAUAAAUUACAAUGUAAAAAUAAGUGAGAAUAUGUUUCCACCAACUCACACCCUCCAACGCAAAUUUGAGCUUCAAUGUCAAGAACUCGACGACGAAACAAAUUGUCCUUUGUAGAUAGCCUAUUACGAAACAGACGCCAAGCAAACAACAACACCUUUUUAAACAUAUCCUUAAUUAAUAUUACUAUCUUUGGGCUUAACUAUAAAAUAUUUUUGCCAAAAUCACAAAAAUUAAUAAAAGUGUUUGUUAUCACAAUUAUUUUUACAGUUUUAUCCUUUAAAAAAAAGAGUUAGUUUAUGUUUUCAACAUGAUAUUAUUGUUGUUUGAAGAAAAUGAUAUAUAAUAAAUAUGGUUAUGAAGGUAAAUAAAUAAUUAAUUGUGUUGGAAAUAGAAAAGAGGUUCUAUAAAAAGGAUAGAAAAAUCUCAAAAUAGUUUUAUAAUUAGGGAUAAAGGUAGUACUCCCUCCGUUUCAAAAUACAUGUCCAAUUUUUGCAAUGUGCACUAUUCACUUGAUUUACUUUGACCAUACUUUUUAACUAAUGUAUAAAUACAAAUAUUAGCAUGUAAGAUGUUGUUUGAUUUGUCUCGACAAAUAUUUUCAAAAUAUUAAAUUUUUAUAAUUUUUUUACUUUGGAUAAUUAAAGAUAUUAACGGUCAAAAUUGAGCAUUGUCAUAUGUGAAGUGGUUGACUUGGACAUGUAUUUUGAAACGGAGGGAGUAUUAACUUAUCUUGAAAUAUGAAAAGUCAAAUUUAAUACAUAUACAAAUAAAUGACAAUUUAAACACCUUAAUUGUACUAACAUUUGUUAUUAAGAAAUGUGAAAAAAGCAAGAGUGACUGAACGAAAGGAGUAUAUAUAUUUUGCAUCCAAAAUAACUCUUUUCCAACUUCUAAAUUAAGAAUUUCUAAAGUUUUAUUUUAGAGGAAACAAUUUUCAAAGUUGAAAAAGUGUUAUUUGCAAUAUAAAAUUUGUCUUUUUUUUUCUUUCACAAGUGUCAUAGCAUGAUCCAAUAAUUAAGUAUGUAUGUGUGUGUAUAUAUAUAUAUUUAAAAAAAAAAAUUAAAUAUAUUUUCAAUUCAUAUAAACUUAUCAAGAGUCACACAAUUUAGAGCAAAUAGUUAGUUUAGUCUCUGACUUUGCACCUCGUUGUUACAAAAGUAUCUGACUUAAGAUUAAAUACAAAUAAGUUCCUUACUCUGCACUUCCAUUAUCACUUUAGUCCAUGCUGUUAAAAAAUUUUGUUAAGUGAUGAUGUGACACAUGUUUUAUGCUGACAAGGAGUAUGAGGUGCCAGGGGGAUUAAAAUGACUGUAAAAAAUGAUCACUACUUUGAUCCCUGAACCGAAAAUCAAUAUUCCCAAAUUGAAUUUGAAAUCCCUAAAUCUUAAGAAAAUUAUGAUUGGUAGUAAUCAACCAAAAUUUCUAUGCAGUACUUGCUGGACUACUUCAGUAGGUAUUUUCUAUGUAGUGGUUGGGCAAUCAAGGCUUGGAACAACAUGUUACUUGGUAUGGUUUUGUGCAUGCUUUUUAUAUGGUCAUAAUACAUUGUAAUUAUUAGUGUGUUUUGAUUAUAUGCAAUAGAGAGAGAUUUUCAUAACGAAUUGAGGGAAUAACCUUAAUGAUAUAAAGAAAGUCAAAAUUGCAGCAAUUUGAUAUAAAGAGAUAAAAACACAUAAUUAGAACCACAAACUCUGCUACUAUAUUCACUUUAGGCUUAAUUGCACUUUUGGACCCUUAUCUUUUCAAAAGUUGCAGUUAUGGACCCCUAACUAAUUUAAAUACAAAACAGCCCCUUAUGUUUUGAUUCUUUGGCAGUUUUGGACCCCCAAGGAAAAAAAAAAAAAAAAAUUGACACGUGGCACCUCACUUAAGGUGCCACGUCAGCGUUGACCGAGUCAACAAUGGACUGGGGGUCCAAAACUGCCAAAGAAACAAAACAUAGGGGGCUGUUUUAUAUUUAAAUUAAUUAGGGAUCCAUAACCGUAACUUUUGAAAAGAUAGAGGUCCAAAAGUGCAAUUAAGUCUUCACUUUAUGCAGUAAUCUCUUUCAACACCAAGUUAUCAUGCCAUGAACCCAAUACAUAGAGCAACAAUUUGUUCCUGUUUCGAAGUUAUGCAGCUUAAGACAUUUCUGGAAUUCAUAUUUAGAGUAAAUAGUCAAUUACCCCCCUGAAAUUGUAAGUUUCGUCAAUUACCCUCUUGAAAUUAAUAAAACGUCAAUUACCCCCUGAAAUUGCACAACGUUAAUCAAUUUACCCCCUCCGUCAAAUUCUUCUGUUAGUGAACAUGAAGUUUUGCAAAUACCUCCCCUGAAGUUUUGCACUUAUGUGCAAAAUGCCCCCCAAAUUUAAAUUUUUUUUUUCUUAUCUUGAUUCGAAAGAUAUUAAAGACAAAGAAUUAACAGUUAACUUUAAUAUUUAAGCUUAAAAUAAGAAUAUAUCCUCUAAAAAUAACACAUAAUUAAUAACUUCAUAUUACUUUAGCAAAAUGCAUGUUUAGUUCAAUUUUUAAGAUAAAAUAAUUUUAUUCAAACUUAUCUUAAGAAACUGUUAAAAUUAAUUAUUCAUGAGGAAUGAGUGUCUCUAGCUUACUUUGUUGUGAAUUGGCGUGUCUCUAUCUAAAUAAGUCAUAAUUUAUGGAGAAUUGAAGAACCAAAUGGCACAACAUAAACAAAAUAAAAUAACAGACCUCUUUAAGAAUGAAAGAGUCAUGUAAAGUAUUAAAGUUAACUGUUAAUUGCUUGUCUUUAAUAUCUUUGAGUUAAAGAUAAGAAAAAUAUAUAUAAAAGUUCGGGGGGCAUUUUGCACAUAAGUGUAAAACUUCAGGGGGUUAUUUGCAAAACGUCAUGUUUACUAACAGAAAAAUUUGACGGAGGGGGUAAAUUGAUUAACGUUGUGCAAUUUCAGGGGGUAAUUGACAUUUUGUUAAUUUUAGGGAGGUAAUUGACUUUUUGUUAAUUUUAGGGGGGUAAUUGACGAAACUUACAAUUUCAAGGGGUAAUUGACUAUUUACUCUCAUAUUUAUUAACAUAUAGUAUAUUGGCCUAAUGAAUAAUAAGCAUAUAUUAUAGAGUUAUAAUCAUAUAUCCAUUAUAUAGACUGUUUAUUGGCCUAUAAAUGUUUGAAUGCAUUUUACUUAAAGCAUGAUUGAUAUUUCAAAUAUCUUGCUGGUUUGAUAUUUGGUUUAUUUUUUCAAACAUUGGUUUGAUAUGGUAGACCAGUUCAAUACAUAAUUUUCUUAACUGCUUUACCAAUCAUAUAAUGUAGUGGGGAUUUAGGGAUUCAAUUUUGGAAUAUUGAUUUUUGAUUCAGGAACUAAAGUGAUUAUUUUCUACUGUCACUUUAGUCAUUGUGACACCUCAUACUCCUUGUUGACAUAAAACAUGUGCCACAUUAUCACUUUUAACAUAAUUUUUUAACGGCAUGGACUAAAGUGAUAACGGAAGUGCAGAGUCAGAGACUUAUUUGUAUUUAAUCUUGAGUCAAGGACCUUUCUGACAGUAAGGUGCAUAGUUGGGGACUAAAGUGACUAUUAAUUCCACAAUGCUAACAAAUGUCAUUAACCUAAGAAAACAUGAUUGAAACCAAAGGAUUUCAGAACAUUUGAAAAGGAAUUUUCAAUCCAAUGUAUCAAAAGCCUUCAUGAUGUCAAUUUUAAAAGCCAAGUUUCCUCCAAAAUAAGGACCACAAUAUUUCAAUUGUGAUUAGUCUAUAAAAUUCAUCCAAAUCUAAAAAAUUCAGAGAUAGAGUCGAAGACAUCAUUACCAACUAUGUACCAUUAGUACCAAUAACCAAUAGCUCUGAAAAUAAGUAUCAUCUACAACCAUCAAGGCCUGGAGCUAAGAAAACAUCCAUAUCAAAUAUAAUUUAUUUCAAUGAAGGAAGUCUCUCUAGUAAAGAUAUCAUUAUUUGCUCUCCCUCCAAGUGCCAACAGAUCUCCCAGCUAGAAAUAACAUACCAACAGUACUAAAUUACAUUGAAGCAUAUCUUACAUUAGAGAACAAUCUCUUACUUAUAAUGUUUGAAACCUCAUCAUAAAUCUCAAUACCCAAUAACAAAAAACAACAACUGGAACCAUCAAUACACUAUCACAAGCAGUGAUUAUGAAAUAAUAAAAAAAAAAAAUCAUAAUUUUUCAAAGGUGGCAUACCUUUGUUGUUAUAAGAUGAAAAUUUAGGAGAUUGUUAAUCGACAGAUCCCUUCUACAUUAAUUCUGAAAAAACAAACAUCAAUUUCAAAUUUUGAGUUGAAUUUGUAAGUGAAUGCAAAAUGAAGAAAGAGGGAUUUGAAAGAUUUACAAUAGAGACAUUUUGAAAGGGAGCAAAGUAACUAUUGCUUAGUGAAAAACUAUAAAAUCGGAAAAUAUAGAACCUGUAGUUAUCUGAUAUAAAUGAAGCAUCAUGGUCAUAUUUUUCUUGAGUAAAGAGCAGUGCAUCAGCAGACUCGAACUGUUCCUUUUGUAUGGCAGAAAGGUGCAACAUAGACAAACCUAAAGCCAUUAUGGGGGAAGGAAAAAUAUAAUAGUAUUUCUAGCUAACUACUCUGAAAGACAUACAUUAUCAUUCCUAAACUGACACAAGACUUUGUGUAACAAGGGAGAGGACAUUUUGUCAAUUCUUUCUCUCAAAACCAUUUGGAAUGUGAAGUUAUAUGAUCAAAGUCACUAAAAGAUUGUCAAUUCUCAUCUAGUGUAGUUUCUAAAUGCAUUAAAAAGUUCAAGCCAAUCAGUAAUAAGUCCAUGAAAACAUACCCAUUGAAAAGCACCUUCUUGGGUUCCAUCUUGCACAUCAACCACAUUAGGCUCAGAUUUUAGAGUACUUCUUUGCUUAAGCAAGUCUCAGACCUUAUAUGAAUUAAAAAAUCACAAAAGAACCAUUAGAAUGCUGAGUAUACAGCUGCUAUGUGCUAAAACUAUUCAACAUGAGACAAAAUGCAUUAAGCAAUAUUUACCGCUUGCAAGAUCCUAUCAGAAACAUCCCCUUCCAAAGCCUCCCACCUCAAUACUCAAAUGAACAAUUCAUUUUAGCACAAAAGGAACGUGUUAAGACAGAAUCAACAACAACAAAUAUAUAAUCAGAUUGCUUGAUUGGAGUACAAAAUAUGUCAAACAAUAAAAUACAAAGCAUAACAUGAAUAAUUACUCUCAGGACCUGAACUAUCAGUUUGCAAAUGAUGCUUAAUAGCAUGAAGAGAAUAGAUGUUUGAUAACAGUAAAGUGGAAGAAGUAAGGGUUAGUACGAAUCAGUCAAAGGAGAGACAAGAACUCACUCAUCGAAGAAAAAGAAGAAGUCACGCAAGAAGGUUGGAUAAUGAUUAAAUUUUAUUUUAUUUUUUACAAAAGAAAAUGAUUAAAUUUUUGGGUGAGUAAGUAUGUAAGAAUAAUGAGGGAAAUUUGGGUAUUUUUGUUGACAUGAGUAAAAACGUCAUAAAAAUAAUUUUACAAAAUUAAAUUUUUAUAAGCAAAAAAUAUAGAGUCGGAUAAGUAGAAUCUACAUUUGUUCAAAUAGUCAAUUGUAGGUCUUCCAAUGUGUAGCCUCAGCUAAGCGGACGCUAAUAUUUUCAAAAAAUAAAGAAAAACUAUAAAUUAAUGUAGAGUACGUUAGGCCGACUCUACCUGGACACUAUUAGUGUGGUGGUGGGGGCCGACGCUAAAUUUGGAGUCUAAAAUCAUGUUUUCUUGUAGUGGAUGACAAGCUACCCAUUAGGGAACAUCAAUAUCAUGUGAUACUUCUAAAAUGGUGUACUUUUGUAGAGGGAUAGUUCUGGUUGAGGGGUUGCUGGUGGUCAGAAUACUAUAUUUGACGUUUAAACUAAUAAUUGUGUCAACAAAUUCAAGCAUGGGCUCUUAAGAAUUGGCACAGAUCUUUGUCUCCCCUGUAACGGUUUCCCCUUCGCACUCUUCAAGUGUGUUGUGAAUUCGGACUCAAAACUCACACCAAUACAAACUAUGAUGUGUGGAGCAAAGGAAAGUAGUAACCAAUUUCAAAGUAAACACAAGCAAUAGCAAUAAUAACAACACCUAGAUCUAAUCUAGUAAUCAAAGUGAAAAGCUCAAAACCACAAGCAAAAGAUAAAGGGAGAGAAGAGAGGAACAAACACACCAAAGAUUGUUGACCCAGUUCGGUCCAACUUGACCUAAUCUGGGGGAGAGAUUGAUCUCUCCAAUCCACUAUCAAUGAGUUCUUACAAAGAGAUACAAAUGGGUUACAAGAAAUUAGUUUCAACAAGCUCACAAAGAACAACCCUAAUUUCUCCCCAUUUUCCCAAUCUCACCAAUGAACAAGACACUCAAUGAUUUUCACUCACCCAAGGUGUUUACAAUGUUUCCCAACCCAACAGAACUUUAAUCAAAGACCCUCAACUCUAAAGUUACCUCCUUUGAUUUCCCAAGUUUCUCUCUCUUCAAGCUCUCCUUCAAAAUCUGCAAAGAACACUUAUAUAGCAGUCUUCAGCUGUCAAAAUCGUGUCACGUUUUGCUAAAUCAUGACACGUUUGGUGCGUACGACCAACCUUAUCCUGAAAACUUGCCCAUCAAGCCGAAAAUCGUGUCACGUUUUCCCAAAAUUGUGUCACGGUUGGGCACCCUGCAAAACAGCUCUCGACAUUGCAAAAUCGUGACACGCUUCACAAAUUGUGUCACGAUUCAAAGUUUUCCCAACUUUGCAAUUUGAAGACAUAAACAACAAAGUGCUCCUCUCAUGGAUUUGGUUUGAAGAGAUUCUUUAGGGAUUGAAAAGAGUUGAAGAAUACUUGGGAGUUGUGACAUCGAGAAAGGAAUGGAGUUGGCCUCUUUUUUUGAGAGGUAAGGAGAAACUUCUUGGACCGGAAAUUGGAAGGUCAUUACAUUUCCAACGUGAAGAUCAUCCAAACUAAAAUAUCCUGUCUUGAAAGCUUCUGUAUGAUCCAAGUUAGGAAUUGGGAGAUCUUCUGCGGAGUUGGUAUGAUCCAGUAAUGUAAUUUGGUUGCUUGCCUUCAUGUUUAUCAUAUGAAGUUAUGUAAGCUCCGUUGGAUUUAUGGUUAUGGGUCCUAUACCCGGUAAUGUAAUUUGGUUGCUUGGUUUCAUGUUUACCAUAUUGAGUUAUGUAAGGACCAUUGGAUUCAUGGUUAUGGGUCUUAUACCCGAUAAUGUAAUUUUGUUGUUUGGCUUCAUUUUACCAUAUCCAGUUAUGUAAGGUUCAUUUGAUUCUGGUUGUUUGGCUUCAUGUUUACCAUAUCCAGUUAUGUAAGGUUUAUUUGAUUCUAGUUGUUUGGCUUCAUGAUUAUAAGCAGUUAUGUAGGCACCAUUUGAAUCCACUUGAUUUUGAUCUCGCAGCUCUACUUUCAAGUCUCUCGCAUUGAUGCUUUUGCCAAUCUACAAUGAUGUUAAUGAGAAUAUAAAUUGUUAGACUUUUUCAAUAA
rnacentral:lncRNA from 1 species